rnacentral:rRNA from 1 species
GUGGGGAAUCUUCCGCAAUGGACGAAAGUCUGACGGAGCAACGCCGCGUGAGUGAAGAAGGUUUUCGGAUCGUAAAGCUCUUUCGUUAGGGACGAACGUGCUCUUUGUGAAUAAUGAGGAGUAAUGACGGUACCUAAAUAAGAAGCCACGGCUAACUACGUGCCAGCAGCCGCGGUAAUACGUAGGUGGCAAGCGUUGUCCGGAAUUAUUGGGCGUAAAGCGCGCGCAGGCGGGAUAUCAAGUGUGUCUUAAAAGUGCGAGGCUCAACCUCGUGAGGGGACAGAAACUGGUAUUCUUGAGUGUCGGAGAGGAAAGUGGAAUUCCAAGUGUAGCGGUGAAAUGCGUAGAGAUUUGGAAGAACACCAGUGGCGAAGGCGACUUUCUGGACGAUGUCUGACGCUGAGGCGCGAAAGCUAGGGGAGCGAACGGGAUUAGAAACCCGGGUAGUCC